rnacentral:ncRNA from 1 species
CCCUUUAGAUUGUGACCUCGAUGUUGAAUCAAGGAUUAUUAGUCGCAGAAGACUAACAAGUUUCGUCUGUUCGACGAUUCAAAAAUACGUGAUUUGAGUUUAAACCGUCGCAAGACAGGUUGGAUUCUCUUUAAAGCUGUAUCACACAACUACUAUUAGUA